rnacentral:rRNA from 1 species
GGAGCACGCCGCGUGCAGGAUGAAGGCCUUCGGGUUGUAAACUGCUUUUAUAUGUGAUGAUUAUGACAGUAGCAUAUGAAUAAGGAUCGGCUAACUCCGUGCCAGCAGCCGCGGUCAUACGGAGGAUUCAAGCGUUAUCCGGAAUUACUGGGCGUAAAGAGUUGCGUAGGUUGCAAAGUAAGCAAAUAGUAAAAGCGUACAGCUCAACUGUAUUUAUAUUAUUUGAACUGCUUAGCUAGAGGAUGAGAGAGGUUAUUGGAAUUCCUAGUGUAGGAGUGAAAUCCGUAGAUAUUAGGAGGAACACCGAUGGCGUAGGCAGAUAACUGGCUCAUUCCUGACACUAAGGCACGAAAGCGUGGGGAGCAAACGGGAUUAGAUACCCCGGUAGUCCACGCUGUAAACUAUGAAUGCUAGCUGUUAAAGGUAUCGACCCCUUUAGUAGCGAAGCUAACGCGUUAAGCAUUCCGCCUGUGGAGUACGGUCGCAAGACUAAAACAUAAAGGAAUUGACGGGGACCCGCACAAGCGGUGGAGCGUGCUGUUUAAUUCGAGAGUAAGCGAAGAACCUUACCCAGGCUUGACAUCCUGCGAAUUUCUUCGAAAGAAGAAAGUGCUUUAUUGAGCGCAGUGACAGGUGUUGCAUGGCCGUCGUCAGCUCGUGUCGUGAGAUGUUUGGUUAAGUCCAUCAACGAGCGCAACCCCUAUAGUUAGUUGUAUUUUUCUAGCUAGACUGCCCCGGUAACGAGGAGGAAGGAGGGGUCGAAGUCAGGUCAGUAUUACCCUUACGUCUGGGGCUACAAGCACGCUACAAUGGCUAGUACAAAGGGCAGCCAAGUCGCAAGACGGAGCAAAUCCACAAAGCUAGUCCUAGUUCGGAUUGCAGGCUGAAACUCGUCUGCAUGAAGCUGGAAUCGCUAGUAAUGGUAGGUCAGCACACUACCGUGAAUACGUUCUCGGGUCUUGUACACACCGCCCGUCAAACCAUGAAAGUCGCCAAUACCUGACGUGUGAGCUUUGUCUCAUCCUAAGGUAGGGGAGAUGAUUGGGGUUAAGUCGUAACAAGGUAACCGUA